rnacentral:pre_miRNA from 1 species
AAUUUCAGCUGAAAAAGUCAUGAACAUAAAAGUUGUAGAGCUCAUCAAUACAUACAACUUUUAUUUUGGUCAUUUCUUCAUCAGAUAAAGUGAUAGUAACAUUGUUCACAAAGUUUACAUAUCUCUCUUAUAGUUUAUAGAACCAGAUGAGACAGUUGUAAAUUUUGUGAACAAUGUUACUAUCACUUUGUCGGAUGAAGAAACGACAAAAAUAAAAGUUAUAGAUAUUGAUGAGUUAUAUAAUUUUGUUGUUGAUGACGUUUUCAAUUGAAAUC